GAUGAAUGUGUGGCUCGAGACACCAAUUUACAAAGAGAUCUUAUUAGAGCAGAUGGAUAAAUAAAUUACGUUUCUUUGUUUUUACAACCAGUGAUUCCCCAAAGGUUUACUGUUUUGAAUGAUGGACAACAUUUUCAACUUCACGCUGCUCCCACGCUGCAGUAACUACUUUUCUUUGUGUAUGGAUAUGAUGUGAAACACACGGGUGAAUGACAUUCUUUCAUCCCAAUGCAGAACAUCCCCAUCAGUGCAGGUCUUCCCUGAAAUGUCCUCAGCGACUUGGACCACGUCAUGCAAACUGAAUGCCAGUUAUCCAAGGACACCACAGAAGAAAUGGUCCAAACUCUCUCAAACAUUAUGAUAUAGAGGUCUUUUCCAUGACCCUUCAUCCCUAGCUCUAUGUGCGUC